GACGAACGCUGGCGGCGUGCCUAAUACAUGCAAGUAGAACGCACAGUUUAUACCGUAGCUUGCUACACCAUAGACUGUGAGUUGCGAACGGGUGAGUAACGCGUAGGUAACCUGCCUGGUAGCGGGGGAUAACUAUUGGAAACGAUAGCUAAUACCGCAUAAUAUUGAUUAUUGCAUGAUAAUUGAUUGAAAGAUGCUAUUGCAUCACUACCAGAUGGACCUGCGUUGUAUUAGCUAGUAGGUGAGGUAACGGCUCACCUAGGCGACGAUACAUAGCCGACCGGAGAGGGUGAUCGGCCACACUGGGACUGAGACACGGCCCAGACGCCUACGGGAGGCAGCAGUAGGGAAUCUUCGGCAAUAGACGAAAGUCUGACCGAGCAACGCCGCGGGAGUGAAGAAGGUUGUCGGAUCGGAAAGCUCGGUUGUAAGAGAAGAACGGGUGUGAGAGUGGAAAGUUCACACUGUGACGGUAUCUUACCAGAAAGGGACGGCUAACUACGUG
rnacentral:rRNA from 1 species